GCAGCUAUGGUGUAGUGGUUAUCACGUCUGCUAUACACGCAGAAGGUCCCUAGUUCGAGCCUGGGUAGUGUCA
rnacentral:tRNA from 1 species